rnacentral:lncRNA from 1 species
ACAAAUAUCAAAAUACCACCCUCAAAACUGCUAAUCGAUAUUCUCCAUCUCAAACACCUGCAUCUUAUCUUCUUCAUUGCUCACCUAAUUACGCAAUUCCCUCUCAAACCCCUGCAUCUUAUCUUCUCCAUCUCCUCAAAACUGCUUCCGAUUUCGAGCUUUCACCACACCAACACUGCCAAUCGAUCUUCGAUCUUCUGUGAAUUCGAGCUUCGAUUUCGAGCUUUCACCACACCAACACUACCAAUCGAAAUCGAUCUUCUGAUUUCGAGCUUUCACUACCCCGCCCCCCCUUCGGUUCCCUGUAACCUGACAAAACGGAGCACCUCCGGUCGGUUCACCGGCCACAGCCCCUUCGACUCCCCUUUUUCCGGCUCACGGCGGCGGUCUUUAUCUCCGACCGACAAACUUCACGGAGAAACUUCAAUAUUGCUGUUAUCAAUUCAACGUUUUCAUGGUGAUAUGGUGUUGAAACCAAUAUGAAUCAAAGAGAUUGUAGAUGACUUCUUCUGGUUUUGCCAUUUUGUGGUGGAAUGUUGGACUACGUCUUUGAAACCAGGCUACAGCCAAAACAUGAUUAUUUGGAAUAAAUGAAAUAUAUAUUAUAAUAAAUUUCUUUUAAAAUGAAUAUCGACUUCUAGGAAACAUUGCUUGUGGUACGGAUAGGUUAAAAUGACAAUUUGCCUACGAAUUUUAGACAGUUUUUAGUUUUAUUUUGCUUUUGUAUCCGAUCUCUCGGAUGUUUUAUAAAUAGAAUAAAACUAGAAAAAACAUUAAAUUUCGUGACAAUUGU